AUGAACUCACCGCUCUUAAAGAGUGUGGAGCUUGAGGAGCUCCGGCAGGGGAAGGCUACACUGCUGUGUUUGGUCAGUAAGGGCUUUCCCUCAGACUGGACGCUGAGCUGGAAGGUGGACAGUAGCAGGUGGAGCUCAGGUGUGGUGACCAGCCCCGGCGUGCUGCAGCAGGGAAACGGCCUGUACAGCUGGAGCAGCUGGAGGAAGACGAGGGCAGUGAGCUGUGAGGUCAGUCACGACUCCAGCACAGCAGUGAAGAAGAGUCUGAACACACAGCAGUGUAUCGAGAACUAA